GCAUUCGUAAUGAGUUCAGGACUAACGGGCUGAAUUUAAGCAUAUUAUUAAGCUCAGGAGUCAAAAUCAACUGAAAUUGGGCUAGUAGAGGCGAUUGAAGACCCAAAAGGCUAACUCGAAGAAUGCUUUCACGAGCAUUGAGUGAGUGGCUUCUUCGUGCAAUCGUUUUCCAAGAGGGAAUGAGUGUUGAAUCAUUCAAACGUUGACAGUGCAAUUCUGUUGACUCGAGGAAUUCGAUUCGAUUCGAAGGAGCUUAUAGAGUAGUGUUGGUCGAGAAUCCAGCAUGAAGACGGCAGGUGAUGCUCUGUCAAGCCAAAAUACAGAUUCGAAAACCGGUAGAGAAGAGUACAGUGAUGGAAAGCUGAAAAAUAUGCCAACGGGCAGCUGAAAAGAUAUGAAACGAGUGAGGUAGAAACGUUUGUAAAGGAAUCAAUUCGUUUCGAAGGCAAACAAUGCUUCUUUGAGAAGUAUUAAGCGAGAAUUGCACAUUGGUGGUUCGCAACGCGGAUUCAAGAAGUCUGGAUUCAAGAACAGUGCUCUUCGGAGUGAGUUUCUUGUCUGGAACGGAUUCUAUUCGCGUUUUGAAUCAACAAUCAUGACGAUUUUCGCGUGUUUGUCACGAUUCUUUAACAAACACUCGUCUUGAAACACGACCCAAGGAGUUUAGCAAUAUUGCAAGUGAAAGGCAUUAUAAUGCCUGUAGCGUAACGAAAGUGGAAUGUUGUUUGGCAACAACCACCUUUACACCAGUAUUGCGUGCAAGCAAUACAGCUAAUACCCGAAAGAUGGCGAUCUAAUCUUGAUCUGACUGAAGCCAUGAGAAAUCAUGGUGGAAGGUCUUAUUGUUGUUGACGUGCAAAUCACUCCUGUAAAUUGAGAUUAGGAGCGAAAGACUCAUCGAGCCAUCAGUAGCUGGUUCCCUUCGAAAUUUUCCUCAGAAUAGCAAAGACAAAGCAAACAACAUCAGGUAAAGCUAAAGAUUGGAAGCCAUGGGGCUUAAACGCCUUAUCUUACUCUCAAACUUUCAAUUGGUGUAAAUGGCAUUAAUCUGUUCUUCACGGCAGAGCCAUUUAAUGUUAAAAUGUCUUUAGUGGGUCGUGGUUUGGUAAGCAGAUCAGACAAAGCGGAUUCAACCGUGAAACGAAGUAAAGCUGCGAAUAUUCAGUUAGUCUAUACAAAAAGGCGUAACCGAGUUAUAACAAUUGGAUGAUGGCCAUGGAAGUCGGUAUUCAUUAAAGAGUGUGUAACAACUCACCAAUCGAACUCGGUUGCCCUGAAAAUGAAAGCAUAGAAACUUUUAAUGCUUUGCUUCGAGCUUUCGAGCGUGAAAACUGAGACCGAGAGAGUAGAAGGGUCUUCGGAUUGCAUCGAAGUUUAGUCUGUGAAGGCAAAUGGAGCAGUUCGAAGAACAGAUCUUGGAUGUAGUAGCAAACAAUCGAAUGAAGAGCUAGAAUCAAACUGAUUCGCAAGAUUUUGGGCUUAUUCGUGGCUUCGGCUUCGUUUAACCUUCAAUUUUGUAAUCGAAAUUCGACGGCCGAAGUGGAGAAGGUUUUCUUAUCAACAGCUGUUGGAUAAGUGUUAGUCGGUCCUGAAAUUGAUGCUUUCGAGCCAUCGAUUGAAAGGGAAUCAGGUUCAUAUUCCUGAACUCAUUCGUAGAUUGCAUUUGAUGGGUUUUCCAUUGAAUGACACGGCAACGUGGAGCAUUUGAUACGAGAAAGGUUAUAAGCCUUCCUAGAAGAAUCCUCGCUUCUUCUUAAAUCAACCAAAUCCGCCAUUCAAUGCAAUGAUCGGAUGGAUUCUGCGGAGCUAGCAUCAUGCUGAGAAGCAGAAUUCACCUGUUGAAUCAAGACAAAACGCCCUAACAUGAUCAAACUCCUGUUUGUUCUUGUGGUGUUUUGAGGAAACGUUUUAUGAUCCUCUGCAAUGCAAAAUCGUAUCAUGCUUGUCUUUUGACAACAGUCUAUGAAGGAACCGUACCCGAAACCGCAUCAGGUCUCCGAAACGAACAGUUUCUGGCCUCAUAGAAUAAUGCAAGCAAGGGAAGUCGGCUUAUUAGGGUUGUAACUUCGGAAGAAGGCCUGGCUCUGAGAAUUCGAUUUGAAGGCUGUGUUGAAGUUCGAAUCAACGAAUUGUGAGUGGAUAAGUGAGUCGCCCUCGGGUAAAAGCUUUGAAACUUGCCGUUCGAAGGUUCAAUAUGACUUCUUCACCGACAGAGUGGUUUUCUCACGGGAAAGCCAUUCGUACUUCAAAUCUCCAUGAAUUCAUUCGGAACCGACAGAACUCAAGAAAAUCGGACUGUUUACUUAAACCAUAGCAAAUUGCAAGGGACUAAUACUUGCGAACAAUUUGUGACUUCUGCCCAGUGCUUUGAAUGUGAAACUGAAGAAAUUUUUUUAAGCAUGGGUCAACGGCGGGAGUAACUAUGACUCUCUUAAGGUAGCCAAAUGCCUCGUCAUUUAAUUGGUGACGCGCAUGAAUGGAUUAACGAGAUUUUCACUGUCCCUGCUUGCGCUCUAGCGAAACAACAGGAAUGGGAACGGGCAUUCUAGUCGGUUAGCGGGGAAAGAAGACCCUGUUGAGCUUGACUCUCACUUGUUCUUGUUAUUCCGGCAACGAGGUGUAGUAUAGGUGGGAGAUUUUUCAACAAUGAAAUACCAUUACUUGCUUGCUCGGAAUAACUAAUCUGAUCAAAGAUCAAAGAGUCGUCAAUUCUGUUGAUGACAAAUCAUUGAUUCAAGCCCUCUAAGGGUAGAUAUUAAAUAUCAGAGAAAUGUGCUAGUCGGGAGUUCGGCUGGGGCGGCACGCUGAUGAAAUGGUAGCAUCAGCGUACAAAGCGAAGCUCAGAAACGUCGGAAACGUUUCGUAGCGGAGAAGACCAAAUGCUUCGUUGACAUUGAUUUUCAGUACGAAUCAAUGAUGUGAAAGCACGUUCUAGCGAUCCUUUACCAAACGAAUCUUCGGAUUCCGGUUAAUUUUAAGCAUUCAAAGGUAGAGGUGUCAGAAAAGUUACCAUAGGGAUAACUGGCUUGUGGCGGCCAAGCGUUCAUAGCGACGCCGCUUUUUGAUCCUUCGAUGUCGGCUCUUCCUAUCAUUGUG
rnacentral:rRNA from 1 species